rnacentral:rRNA from 1 species
GAUGAACGCUGGCGGCGUGCCUAAUACAUGCAAGUCGAGCGAACAGAUGAGGAGCUUGCUCCUCUGACGUUAGCGGCGGACGGGUGAGUAACACGUGGAUAACCUACCUAUAAGACUGGGAUAACUUCGGGAAACCGGAGCUAAUACCGGAUAAUAUAUUGAACCGCAUGGUUCAAUAGUGAAAGACGGUUUUGCUGUCACUUAUAGAUGGAUCCGCGCCGCAUUAGCUAGUUGGUAAGGUAACAGCUUACCAAGGCAACGAUGCGUAGCCGACCUGAGAGGGUGAUCGGCCACACUGGAACUGAGACACGGUCCAGACUCCUACGGGAGGCAGCAGUAGGGAAUCCUCCGCAAAGGGCGAAAGCCUGACGGAGCAACGCCGCGUGAGUGAUGAAGGUCUUCGGAUCGUAAAACUCUGUUAUUAGGGAAGAACAAAUGUGUAAGUAUCUAUGCACGUCUUGACGGUACCUAAUCAGAAAGCCACGGCUAACUACGUG